GAUGAAGAACGCAGCGAAAUGCGAUAAGUAGUGUGAAUUGCAGAAUUCAGUGAAUCAUCGAAUCUUUGAACGCACAUUGCGCCUUCUAGUAUUCUGGGAGGCAUGCCUGUUUGAGCGUCAUUAAACCUAUCUCAAGUAUGAUUACUUGGAUGUGAAGGAAGAGUACCUUAAACUUAAGGAGUGUUCUCCUUUGAAAUUGAUUAGCAGAUGGUAAUGUUAUUAAAUCCCUGAUGUUGUAAGAAAUAACAGUGUUUUGUAGACUAUUAUCUAGCUUUAAAUUAUAAUUUUUAUUAUGGUUGACCUCAAAUCAGGUAAGGAUACCCGCUGAACUUAAGCAUAUCAAUAAGCGGAGGA
rnacentral:misc_RNA from 1 species